ensembl:lncRNA
UUUCAUUAAAGUCGAUUGGAUUCACAAGUUUCUGAGUUGAAGUGCUCUUUGUUUUAGUCGUUGUGGACUUGGGUUUUCCACGACAUAAUUGGCGAGCCAGCCAGGAGUUGGACAGAGACAGAGGUGCCUGACUGAACUGCCUGGGAGGAAUUGGACUGUUUUACACAAACGGUGGCCACAACAAAGGAAAAGGCGCGGGUCCCGGAGCCCGAGGACGAUCAGCCCAGGGCGGUGGUUCCAGGAGACCAGGUCUACAUCAAGGUCUACAGGAGGAGGUGGAACGAGCCAAGGAGAGAAGGCCCCUACAGAGUGACCCAGGCCACGACGACGGCAGUACGCGUAGAGGGCAGCGACACCUGGUAUCACCUCAACCACUGCACCAAGGUUCCACAAGGAGUGGGACAACAUGAGGAGGAUGAGAAUGCUGAUCUUCCAGGCGGGAGUGAAAGCCAAGAGGGGGAAGGCGUGGCACCCUCAGCACCAGAGGAACUGGUACCUCAGCCGGAGAAGUCUGAGCCCAGCAGAGAGGAACCAGACGUGGGAGUGGAGAAUGCUCAUGCUCAGUCUGCUGUUGACAGCUCUGGGGCUAUGGUCUGUGUUACAGAUUCCAGGGGAGAAUGUACAAACAACAACGGAGCAGAUCCUGCAAUUGGUGCCACCACAGAAGAGACCUAAGGGGGGCCACGCCCGCCCGACACCAGUAGGAGACAACACCUUACCGCUGGUCUCACCGACUUUGACUAACAAUAUUUCAUUUAUUUCUGACUCUAGUAGCCCCGACACAGACCUUGACAGGAGGAAUGAGGUAUGUACAGCCGCAUUGUUAGCGGGGAUAUUGCCCCACCGUCUGGUGAUUGCAGAUGUAGAAAUCACAGUCUACAUUAACACAGUUGGAUUUGGUACCAAGAAUGAAGCUAUAUGGUUAGGAAGGGUAGAAGAAAGUAGGGAACAAUGGAAUGUUGUGGGGAGCAGUAGAAAAGGAGAAUGUGGCCCGCAAGAAAGAGAGAAGGAUCAAAGAGUAAAGUACUUGGUAAGGUGUAGUCAAAGGAAGUGUACAGUGAAUGUGACGGCUUCUGUCACCAGAGCCGAAGCGGAACUGUUGUUUGAAAGAGUAAAACCCACCUUAUCAAAAAAAGAGAGAGGCUGGGGCAAAAGGAGCGGGGAGGAAUGGGGUCUAGCGUGGGAUAGAGAAUUAGGCAGUACAGACCCCGAGACCUCCCUGCUCUGGAGAAGACCGAGGGCAGUAAGUGUUCAAGAUGGAAGUAGGGUAAAUACUACAACUCAGAAUGUGAAACGAGGGAAAAGGGAAAAUAGAUCAUGGAGUGUACUCGAGGCUAGAGAAGUUAGAAUGCCUGUUAAAGCCAGGGAUGAAGCCCAG